AGAGUUUGAUCCUGGCUCAGGAUGAACGCUAGCGACAGGCUUAACACAUGCAAGUCGAGGGGCAGCGGGGUAGUGCUUGCACUACCGCCGGCGACCGGCGCACGGGUGAGUAACACGUAUGCAACCUACCCUGAUCAGGGGGAUAAGCGGUGGAAACGCCGUCUAAUACCGCGUAUAUCUUCCGGGGGCAUCCCCGGGAGAAGAAAGGUAGUAAUACCGGAACAGGAUGGGCAUGCGGCGCAUUAGGUAGUUGGAGGUGUAACGGACCACCAAGCCGACGAUGCGUAGGGGUUCUGAGAGGAAGGUCCCCCACACUGGUACUGAGACACGGACCAGACUCCUACGGGAGGCAGCAGUGAGGAAUAUUGGUCAAUGGGCGGGAGCCUGAACCAGCCAAGUCGCGUGAAGGAAGAAGGUACUUAGUAUUGUAAACUUCUUUUGUCAGGGAACAAAAGUGAGGACGUGUCCUCAUAUGAGUGUACCUGAAGAAAAAGCAUCGGCUAACUCCGUGCCAGCAGCCGCGGUAAUACGGAGGAUGCGAGCGUUAUCCGGAUUUAUUGGGUUUAAAGGGUGCGCAGGCGGAAGGUCAAGUCAGCGGUAAAAUGUCGGGGCUCAACCCCGGCCGGCCGUUGAAACUGGUCAUCUAGGGUUGGAGAGAAGUAUGCGGAAUUCGUGGUGUAGCGGUGAAAUGCAUAGAUAUCACGAAGAACUCCGAUUGCGAAGGCAGCAUACCGGCUCCAUACUGACGCUCAGGCACGAAAGCGUGGGGAUCGAACAGGAUUAGAUACCCUGGUAGUCCACGCAGUAAACGAUGAAUGCUCGGUGUUCGGUAAGAAUGAUUACUGAGUGCCAUAGCGAAAGCGUUAAGCAUUCCACCUGGGGAGUACGCCGGCAACGGUGAAACUCAAAGGAAUUGACGGGGGCCCGCACAAGCGGAGGAACAUGUGGUUUAAUUCGAUGAUACGCGAGGAACCUUACCCGGGCUCAAACGUAGCAGGACGUGCGCCGAAAAGCGCAUUUCACUUGUGACCUGUUACGAGGUGCUGCAUGGUUGUCGUCAGCUCGUGUCGUGAGAUGUUGGGUUAAGUCCCGCAACGAGCGCAACCCCUAUCUUUAGUAGCCAGCAUUUAAGGUGGGCACUCUAGAGAGACUGCCGGGGAUAACCCGGAGGAAGGUGGGGAUGACGUCAAAUCAUCAUGCCCCUUAUGAUUUGGGCUACACACGUGCUACAAUGGCGUAAACAAAGGGAAGCAGCCCUGUGAAGGUAAGCAAAUCCCAAAAAUAACGUCCCAGUUCGGAUUGUAGUCUGCAACCCGACUACAUGAAGCUGGAAUCGCUAGUAAUCGCGGAUCAGAAUGCCGCGGUGAAUACGUUCCCGGGUCUUGCACACACCGCCCGUCAAG
rnacentral:rRNA from 1 species